rnacentral:rRNA from 1 species
AUGCCUAGCGACAAGGCGCCGGGGCCGGAUGGCUUCACAGGCCUCUUCUUCAAGAAAUGUUGGGGCAUUAUCAAAACUGACCUAAUGACGGUCAUUUCACAUUUCGACUCCCUGCAAACGUCAAAUCUCCAGUGGCUCAACUCUGCAAAUCUGGUCCUCUUGCCUAAAAAGGAUGGGGCGGAGGGAAUCGCCGACUAUAGACCCAUUAGCCUCAUCCAUAUGAAAAAUCUCGUCUCCAACACCCAAAGCGCCUUCAUCAAAACAAGAAGCAUCCAUGACAAUUUUCUGUAUGUUCGCAAUCUUGCUCGACGCCUCCAUGCAAGGAAGACCCCCUCACUCCUCUUCAAGCUUGAUAUUCGGAAGGCCUUCGACUCCGUUAAGUGGGAAUACUUGCUUGAUCUCCUCCAAAGGCGAGGAUUUCCGAGCAAAUUUAGGGAU